UUAAUUAAGAGCAGACGUUUGGACCGUUGCCUCAAGCUAAUGGUAGAACACAUCAGUGAGCUGCCUAGAAAGUUUGUGUAUUUACUCUCUGUAUCUGUCGUUCUGACAAAUGAUUGGGUGAUAGGUUUUCUUUCACCAGAUGGCAGAUAAUCUGUUUCAGCUAAUGAAGACCUCUCUGCCCUGUUGUCUGUGCCUGAUGACGAUUGCCAUGGCGAUCGAAGGUGGAGUCACCUUACAACACACAUGUGCAGACCUGGAGUUUCCAGACCUAACAGACAGAGAACCUGUCCAUGUUUUACUCAACAGUUACAUCAACUUGACCUUUCACCUCAACACAUCUGACUGCGCAUACUUUCCAGAAAAGUAUUUUGUCAGGUUGUCAUUAAGUCAUGGCGAAUCAAAUGUACCCAUCUGCUACAUCGUUUACAAAAAUGAGAAUUGCAGCGGUACCGACCCCGAGAACUGUGGCUGUCUACCCGGUACUACAUACUCGGCUGUUGUGUACAGACAAUUCACUCAGUCCGGCCGCAGUGUCCUCAUCUGGAGUUUGAGCGACUCAAUUAGGGAGAAUCUGCAGAAGAAAAUAGAAAUCACAUUCUAUGUAGACAGUACUGGUACCUCUAGCCCCCACACGACGAGGGAAAAUCUUUCUUUUACUCGGACCACAGGAGAGCUGAGCAAACCAGACUUAACAUCAAGCACGAUAACUCCAAGUACAACGAGGAAUAUUACUUCCCCUGUCGACGAGACUGUCAAGGAAAGUUCAACUAGCUUUAAAACAACUUCUCCAAGGCUUGCCGACACUGGAAGCGAAGGCGACAACUUUCAAGUGAUUAUCUUUACAAGCAUUAUCACUCUCUUAGUCGUCGGCGUGCCUUUCGUCACAGCAAUGAUCAUUUAUGUUCAUAGAAUCAAAAAGAGAAUAAAAGGUAGGUGAGAGAUACUUCUUUCACAAUAACAAUUACGAUUUUUUCUUCAUAUUGUAUAAUCAACAUCGCAAGAAAAUAAAUUCUUUUAUAUCAUCGACAUACAUAGAACAUGAUCCAAUCAUGACUUCAUUGAAGUACACAAACACACAUUAAGAAUUUGUCGAUGAAAUUAUUCUUGAUGAAACAUUUGGCGGCAUCGUCGGAUUGGCUUGAGGUGAGUGGUUUGAAUUAUUUAUUUUCUUUGGUGUUGAGUUUAUUUGAAAUGCUUUGUUUAAUAUGUUUAUGAGUUAUCUACACUAGCAUAAACACUGCUCAGCACUUGUCACGGCGCCGAAUAAACAAAUGACACUAGAGUCAAGCACAAGAGAAAUAGUCUGAGAGGGAAAUAUUCAUGUAAUGCAGUUUAUAUUGUAAAUUAAUUUUUCUUUUAUGCUCUCUUUUAUGAGCAAAAGUUCUCGUGUCACGAUAUUCUGUAUAAAAAGCAGAUGUGAGGUUAAUCGUAUCACAUUGAGUAUGAAUGAGAGCAAUAGAUGUUUUAAUUGUUUUUUGACAAAACAGGACAUUUGAAGAAGAUGGAUUGAUAGUAGUCAAGCAGACGGAGUGAGGAAGCUGUCAAGGCAUGACAUCCAUGCUACUGUGAGGUGGACAAAGUGUUUAAGUGUUGCACGACACCCUGAAACGGGGAUCUGAAGGAGGUGUGCCCACGUGAUCACUCAGCAUAAGUAGAAAAAGCUUUCGGAGCAACAUAUUCGGGACUGUGAAAUAAAGACACAAAGAAAAGCUUUGACACUAAGAGCCUUUAUUUAUAAGUGAAGCGGAAACUGCAGUGUACAAGAUAAAAAUUUGACUCAUAGUAUGUGCAGGAAAAUAAGAACAGAUUUGUUUGUUAGGUCCUCAACAUCUACCGGGGUUUCAUCCGGUAAGAUGCCAGUGACACCCGAAUUAGCGAGUUUGCACGUUUACAUGUACAAAUAUGUAUAUACUUGGAUGAUUGUUUUGUGUAUAAUAUACACAUAUUAUGGUUAUUAUUGCUUAAGCCCGCUGAGCAAUAAUAAUAACUUAUAAGUAUACAUUUACUUGCAUUUUGGUUCUUCUGUUAUUAUUCAAAAUUUGCCAGCCAUCUAUGUCUCUCUCUCUCUCUUUCUCCAUGUAUGUAUGUAAUAUACUUUGUGUCACUUUUUUGGAAGAUAAUCCCAAAAUUUUUUCAGAAACUUCCAUGGUCAGAGUAAAACAUUAAAGUUAAAGAAGGAAGGUCUUGUACUUUUGUAAAAUGAUAUCGGCUACGACCACUUAAUUUCUUGCUAUAUAAAUACUUAAGAUGCUAUGUCACAGCAUAGAACAUAGGCUUUCUUAAAAUCUGUUAAAAGGGUCUAUUGUUUACUAAAGUUUCCCUAAAUCAAGUUUCAAUUUAAUGAAGGGCCCUCUUUAAGACUGGUAAAAAUGUCUCGUGGAAGUUCCUUCUCAAGGGAUUGGUUCAUUAGCAAAAUCUGGUUGAUCGUCAUUCAGUGUGUGCACAUGAGCCGGGUUCCUGGAGCACUCCACCAUCAACAGUGCGACCAGUAAAAAUUCGGAGGAAGAACAUUUUCUGACAGUUCCCUCCGGAAUAAGACGAACACUGGUGGGAAGCAGCAGCAAAGAAGAGGAGCUACAGCAGGAGUGUCAGCAGCAUAUAGCAGUGUAAGAAGUAGAGGUACAAGAAGAAUUAGGUGGAAGGAAAUUGAAUUGUGGUCUUGUACACCGAGUCAACAACUGAGGAUUCAUCACUAAAAACUUCCGUAGAAUGUAAACCGAUGAAUCUGAUAGAGAAAAGUAUACCACGACGACGAGAACGAUAAUAUCAUCGAUAAAUAUGGCAAUGGUGCUCGUAAGGAAGAAGACAACGACUAAGAAGAAAGCAAAAAUAAAAUAUUUUUACACGUUGUUCGUUACUUUGUUCAAAUUGUAAUCGUUUUAAAAUAAACCCCUCGCCUGUUCCGGUUACCAUGCACGCCCGAGCAGCUGCUAGAAGAGCAGUCACGUGGUCACGAAGCUCCUCCCCCAGUGGGCGUGUCUUUGUUGCCCAGUACUACAUGAGAAGACUUCGAGUUUGUUGUCCUGUCCGAAACUAAUUGUAGCCGUGGUUUGUGGGCACACUGGUGAUAUUUUACAACCUUUCUGCACACUACGUUGUCACUGCUGUCUCAGAGAACGAAUAUUUUAGCAGUUGUUGUUGUAGUUGUAGGAGGAGAAAGAGGAAGAACUACUUCAACUAGCCGCUGGUGUUUUAUUCCUUUAGAAACCACGCCGAGAUAACUCAGCCUUAUAAACUGGUGUCACAUCUUCACAUACAAGUAGAGAAGAAGGAGUAGUGAAAGUUGAAAAAAAAAGGAAAAGGAGAGAAAAAAGAAAGACAGGAAGGAAAAAGUAAAAAGGGAAGAAAAAAAAAAGGAAAAAAAGAAGUACUGAUUGAUUAUUUUUUGGUAAUUUUGUUUUUUGUGUUCAAUCAAACUAAAUUCCGAGUUGUGAUUUUACAGAUCAUCGAUAAUAUCCUCAAAAAAAAAAAAAAUGGUCGAGUGUCUGGCUUAUGGCGUGUCUCUAAUGAUGAUCGCCCUGAUGACCUGUGGAUCUCUCGCUUCUGAUGAGAAUUGCGCAUACAUGGAAUUUGAAGGCCUGACUCAAGAAGAAACUCUCAGAGUCGAACACAACACUUAUGUCAAUAUGACCUUUAACCUCAACACAUCCAAGUGUCCGGAAGAUCGAAAAGUAUUCCGUAUAAGGGUGUCCGUUAGUGUAGGCCACUCGAGUGUCAUAGUGUGUGUGGUUCUCAUCGAGAACACGACCUGCAGUAUAACGGAUGAUUCCCAGGACUGUCACUGUUUACCCGACACUAAAGGCUGGGUGCGCAUGUUCCAACUUAUGAACGAGACGGGCUUAGUGUCGUGUACCUGGAGGUGGAGAGAGCUGACAUCAUCUGAGAUCGACAAAAAAACAAGCAUCGACUUUGAAGUCUUUAGUACAGCUUCCACUACUGAACCUUCCUCUACACCGACUGACGGAGGAGUGGACAAACCAGAAGUGAAGUCAGGUACAGUAACUACAACAACGACAGCGAGAACGACUCCCCCUGGUGACGAACCCCAAAACGAGAGCGACAACUUUCAAGUGAUUUUGUUUACAAGUGUUAUCACUGCCUCAGUCAUCGGCGUGCCCGUAGUCACAGGAAUCAUCAUUUAUGUUUAUAGAGCCAAAAAGAGGAGGAAAGGUAGGAAGAGGUUAUCACUUUUCAGACAUUCCACAUACUUGGCGAAUAACAAUCAGCAUACAAACCUCAUCAACAUACACAGAAAAUAUCAGUAACAUGACGUCACUAAAGUACAUGGACACGUUUACUGAAAACCUACUCCUACCUUUAGUUUCUCACUGUAGCGUGUACAGAGAGUGAGCUCGCAUGAGAUAUCAGUGACUACGAGAAGUAUUGAAGCCUAAUCGGCUUAAUCCGUGGAUCUUUACAAUUUUCUGAACAAGUAUCACUGACUGGAAGUAGGUACGUGGACAUUUUUUUAAAAAUUUGAUGUCUAACUUUUUGUGUACAUUCAAAAUUUUUUAAUUAAAAAUGAUUUGUUGCAUUACUUACACUGAUACAAACGAAGUCUAGACAUGUCUUAGUUCCUAGAAAUAAUGAGCAAGAUAAUGGACAAGUUUUGUUUAUUAAGUGAAAUUGUAUGUGUAUAAUUGGUCAGCUACAUGUUUGUAGAUGAUGUAGGUAUGUUUAUAUACUUUGUUUUAGCUGUAGGUUAACUUUUGAUCAUAUUAAUUGCGUAUAAUGAGCUCGAUUAUAAUAUUGGGGUUCUCUCUCCACAAGAUAUUUAUUUAAAAAUAAUAUUUGAGCUUUUUUUGCAUUGCGUUAAUAAAAUGAAUAAAAUGAUGCUAUUGAAACUGUCUCUAUGUACAGGAAGAUAUCUGUAGAGACUGGUUUGACAGCAGCGACGGAACGAGGAAGCAUUGACCAUUAAUUAUACUAAUGUGAUUAAGACAAGGCGAUAAAUCCUACACAUCCCCCUGAUGCAGCAGAAAUGGCCGUCUGGUAUGACAGACUUCUACUUGGACUGCAAAACCGAGACACAGAGAGAGCAGAGCAUUUAUUUACAUGCGGAAAAGAUAAAGACAAAGAUCUGUUGUCAAUCGUCUUAACAUCAGUCCGCCAUGCCUUGCACACAGCAAUUAUAAUCCGCGUGCAGCUGGAAUAAGAACAAGUGAAUAGAUGUUGAAUACUUGUAGUACAUAUGUGUGUAUAG